rnacentral:rRNA from 1 species
UACGUAGGGUGCGAGCGUUAAUCGGAAUUACUGGGCGUAAAGCGUGCGCAGGCGGUUUGCUAAGACCGAUGUGAAAUCCCCGGGCUUAACCUGGGAACUGCAUUGGUGACUGGCAAGCUAGAGUGUGGCAGAGGGGGGUAGAAUUCCACGUGUAGCAGUGAAAUGCGUAGAGAUGUGGAGGAAUACCGAUGGCGAAGGCAGCCCCCUGGGCUAACACUGACGCUCAUGCACGAAAGCGUGGGGAGCAAACAGG